rnacentral:rRNA from 1 species
CACGUAAGGGGCGAGCGUUGUUCGGAAUUAUUGGGCGUAAAGGGCACGCAGGCGGCCCGACAAGUCUGAUGUUAAAUACCUGGGCUCAACUCAGGAGAUGCGUUGGAAACUGUCGAGCUAGAAUCUUGGAGGGGGAGUCGGAAUUCCUAGUGUAGGGGUGAAAUCUGUUGAUAUUAGGAAGAACACCGGUGGCGAAGGCGGACUCCUGGCCGAAGAUUGACGCUGAGGUGCGAAAGCAUAGGGAGCAAACAGG